AAGAAUUUCAAGGCCACAACUCCAUAUUUGAAGUAAAGUGCUCAUAAAAUUAAUUGCAAGGAAAUCCAUCACUAUGAUUCAACUUCUGAAGAGAGAUUUUCUAGGAAAAAUAAAAAGAUGUAUAAAUUUCAGUGAUGCUGAAGGAGAGGAAGGAUGUGAUGUCUUUCCCCAUCCGUCAUAAGGGUCAUGGCCAACACUCCUAUAACAAAAGGUUUUGAGAAGCCAUCUGCAGCUCACAACUAGAUGAGUGACACAAUCAGAUGUGCGUAUGCAAAUAUGGUAGAAAGAAGAGAGAAUGAAAAAUAAUGUUAACAAUCUAGGUGAGGAAUUGCUGAGGAGACAAAUUAAGUAAAUCCUGUGGAAGGAAAGAAGAAAGGAGGAAAGAGGAUUGGAUGGAAGAAUCUCCGCUUCUCAUAGGUGUAGUCCUUCCUUAGCCUGCUUUUUAAUGACUGCUGCUAAAGCCCUUAGCCUGCCUGUUUACCCUUGGAGUGGAGCAAUGAACUGAAGAUAUUUGAGUGAGUUCAAGAGAGACUCAGAAGAGAAGAAUUGGAGGCAGCAAACAUAGACAGCACUUUUAAUGCUUUUCUCAUAUGCUGUAAGACAUGAAAGCAAUCUAUUGGGAUGAAAGCUGAAAGGAGAAGCGGGACAAGAGAAGUGAAUCCGUGGAAGACCCCCAAAAGAGGCUGCAGAUUCUUGGUGGACAGCUCUCAUAUCCCCUCCAGGGAAAAUGAUGAAAAAUGUCUUCAGAAAAAUAGCUUUAUGAAGGCAAGAGGACUUUUUGCACCUGCAAGACAUGUCUGAAAGCUCCACAGGUCAAAACACAAGUAGUCAAGAGAUUUGUCCAUCUAAUUCAUCAUACUACUCUGAUCCAAGUGAGACCCACACUGGGUCAGCUCCAUCAAGGAGAAGAACAUUCCACCCACGUUUGGAUUCUGGAAUAUCAUCCUUGCUUCCAUCAGAUUCUUGUAAGUACCUCACUUGGCACAAGAUAGAACAACAUGGCGUUCAAGGAAGUCAACUGCGUUGCCCAAGAGUAAGAGAAGGACCCUCUGAAGAAGAGCAACUUUUCAGACAGGUAGAGUGUGCCUUGCUCCCAAGGAAAAGAGUUCUUGAAAAAAACAAAUGGGAAACAUGGCUACAAGAAAACUGGGAAGACUGCAAGAAAUUGAUGGCAAAAUAUGGAAAUAAAAAAAUUAAGUUGACUUUUAGGAAUGCAGUUUACAAGAGCAAUGCGACCACUGAGAGUGGUAGCAAUGUGUUUUACACCAAAGUUGACUGAUAUUAAAAGUGAAAAUAAAAUAUUCAGUAUCUUUGAAGCACACCAAAUCAUUUUUAGAAUUUGAACAUUUCAUUUCAGGAUUUGGGGGAUCCUUACCAGGUUGAAAAUUUUAACAGAAUUCUUAGAAGACUAAUUCGAGUUGAAACCCCCUGGUUAGUGGAUAAUUCACUGGUGGACUUAAGUGCCAUAAGAUUGCCAAGGUCUCAGAUUGGAGAACAAGAAAAGUAAAAAGGGGUAAUUUGGGACAAUAAUUUGUACAUAACUGUAGUUGUUGAUGAGCCAGAGCAUCUUUCUCCACUAAAACGCCAUUUUAAAAGCUUUUGUGGCAUUAUACCAAGAUAUCUCAGAAGAUUAAAUGCCUCACUUCCAGUGACAGAGUCAAAUGGUGCCCUUGAGUGUAAAGUUUGCUGUUCCAAGAAGAGGACAAAAGAGACACAUAUUGUAGAUUUUUAAAUUAGAGUGAUCUACACCAGUAACAUAAAUAUCACCAUCAUCAUUAUCAUCACCAUCAUGAUCAUCAGGAAUUCUAGGCACAUAUGGCAGAAUGUGUUUACAGGCUGGAUGUGGUGGCUCAUGCCCAUAAUCCCAGCACUUUGGGAGGCCGAGGCAGAUGGAUCACCUGAGGUCAGGAGUUUGAGACCAGCUUGGCCAACACGGUGAAACCCCAUCUCUACUAAAAAUACAAAAAAAUUAGCCAGGCAUGGUGGCGGGCACCUGUAAUCUCAGCCACUUGGGAGGCCGAGGCAGAAGAAUUGCUUGAACCUGGGAGGCAGAGGUUGCAGUGAGACGAUAUUGCACCACUGCACUCCAGCCUGGGUAACAGAGUGAGACUCCAUCUCAAAAAAAAAAAAAAAAGAAAAGGAAAAGAAAAUUGGAUUUAUCAAAAAAGAAGAAUGCCAAAAAAGGAAUGCUUUUAGUAGAGCAAAAUAAUUAAUACUCAUUACAUAUGCUUUAUUCAUGCUAUCUUUAAUCUUUUGAGAAAUUAAACAGGGGAGCCAAGUAAGGAAGAACAAAAGAAUGGUAGUAAUUGCCUAUGUAAUAGAUGCAUAUCCAUAUUCUAAAGCAAACUCACCCCAUGCCUCACUUUCUCUCUCCAAAAAUAUCCUAUGGGAAUUUCAUCUAGCUGAUGUGCUUCAUCAAGAUCACCUGCUUCAUACAUAACUGCUCAAUUGUGAGACAUGCAAUAACAGUCAAUACAAACUGUUCUUCCAA